UCACGGGUCUUCUCACCUGUGAUCUUCGUAGAUUGCAGUCGAGUCUUCCAUACAACCAGAACGCUGAUCUACUCACCGUUUCGAGUAUCAGAUUAUUGAUUACACAAUCUCAGUAAAAAUUGUGUAAUCUGAUCAGAGGAUGGGUCGAGAACACAGAUUAAUUUGGAAGUGAGUCCUAAUUUAUAAGGUUCAAGAGAAACGUGAUGAAUGGAUCAGUCGCAACCCUCCCCGUGAAAUAACUCGAGAUCGACGAUGUUUGUGCAGUAGCGGAAACAAAUAAGUAGAAUUAGAUAACGACUCUAAUAGCUCCUUGAGCAGGUGCUAUUCUUCUGGGCGAACACUCCGCUAAGAGGAAACAAGAAGGUAAUUCUUCUCCUUUCUCUCUCGCACCAACUUUAGGUUUCAGAUUAAUUCGGGAGAUUUGCUGUGGGAAUUGUUAAUAAGUGCAGGUCAUGUUGGUAAGUUGGGCACUUUGGUUAUACUAUACGUAGAAGAAGUGGUCUUCAGUUGACAGUAUGCUCUCCUCUGUUUGUUUUUGGAUUUCAUCAAUUAAUGUAGGGUGACAAAAUCUUCGUUAAGGUUAUGGAAUCAUAGUGAGGAAGUCACUAAGUCUUUCCCUUUUCCAAGAGUUUUAACUUUUUUCUCUACACAAUAGUAACCGUUUAUUUCCAUGUGCAGACAAUUAAGGUUCUUAACAUGAUUAAGCUCCAUGGAAAGCCUAUAUGUGUUAACAAGUAGGCAUCUCAAGAUAAGAAGAUCAUCGAUGUUGGUGCUAACCUUUGGAAACAGUUAAAACGAUGGUUUAUAUUUACGCUUCUGCCAAAGGAUGCACAUUAGAAAAUCUUCUAAGAGAGAUGGAACAAAAUGGGUGUGGAUUUUGAGCCCUGCCAAUCGGGUUGUUCUUGAUAAGUCCGAAAUCUCCAAGAAGCGUAAAGAUUUCCCUGUCGGAGUUGGUCAUGUUUAUUUUGAUGCCAAGGGCCAAUAACUGCGGAUUUUAACAGAGUUCAACAAGUGAUCAUUCGACAGCAACUACUACGUUGAGAGAGCAGCACGGGGAUGGUAGUAGUGAAAAGACAAGUUUAAGCCAAGAUAGUAAAGAAAACAGUAAAGCUCGAGGAGGAGACAUCAGGAAAGUAAUAUCACAAGUUUAUUAAACUAACUGAUCUCACUCUCAAUACGCCAGAGAUACCAGCUAUGAAUGAGUCUUUUGUGGAGCUGGUUGCAGCAAGAGUCAUCGUAGAUUCUGUAAUCAGCGGAUGAUAGCAAAACGUGGUCGGAUUUCAAAAGAAGUUAUAUGAAAAAGGAUCUAUAGCAAAGUCGGAUGAAUGCUUCAAUCUGACCAACGUUGAUUCUCCACCUUACUAUCUUUUGCUCAUUAACUUUUCUUUUAAGAAUGCGUCACAAUUGGCUUCGAUUAGUUAUGAUGUGUUAUUGUAAAAGGAUCUAGCCAAAUGAGGAGGAAGAGCCUCACCUUUAAUUGCCAUGGAACGUAGAGAUUUGCUGCAACCAUAAAAGCUGGAUUUAGUCCACCGUUUGGUCUGGUUUGCACCUGCUUUGAGCUUUUUAGAUGCUGCUGCUGCAACUACUCUGGUGACGAACAUGCCUGGUGCUGUCAGCAAAACUCUGAAGCCAUGUCCUAUGCUGACGAGAAGUGUCCCAGUAAACACCAUAUGAGUUAGCGAUGAUCCUGUAAUUGCAGAAAGUCCGCAAGUCCAUCACCACAAUCUCCUCUUAACUGAUGCAGACGCUAGCCCCCGCUGGUUAAACUUCUACAUCUAAGAAGGUCCGUCACACCUAAGGGAUCCAUCCAGCGAGUUUAAGUGCUGGGAACAAACUCGAAUCUUCUGCCUCCAACGAACAAAAUACUAACCAAGGAGAGAGAGCCCUCAAACUGCUUUUCAGACUGGCUAAAAAAAUAAUAUCAUAAGAAACACGUUGCUGAAGAUUCAAACCAAAAAACAGGAAAAAAAUAAUGCUACUAAUUUACACUAAACACUAAAUACCAGUGUUCCUAAUAA